AGAGUUUGAUCCUGGCUCAGGACGAACGCUGGCGGCGCGCCUAACACAUGCAAGUCGAACGAGCGAGAGAGAGCUUGCUUUCUCGAGCGAGUGGCGAACGGGUGAGUAACGCGUGAGGAACCUGCCUCAAAGAGGGGGACAACAGUUGGAAACGACUGCUAAUACCGCAUAAGCCCACAGCUCGGCAUCGAGCAGAGGGAAAAGGAGCAAUCCGCUUUGAGAUGGCCUCGCGUCCGAUUAGCUAGUUGGUGAGGUAAUGGCCCACCAAGGCGACGAUCGGUAGCCGGACUGAGAGGUUGAACGGCCACAUUGGGACUGAGACACGGCCCAGACUCCUACGGGAGGCAGCAGUGGGGGAUAUUGCACAAUGGGGGAAACCCUGAUGCAGCGACGCCGCGUGGAGGAAGAAGGUCUUCGGAUUGUAAACUCCUGUUGUUGAGGAAGAUAAUGACGGUACUCAACAAGGAAGUGACGGCUAACUACGCGCCAGCAGCCGCGGUAAAACGUAGGUCACAAGCGUUGUCCGGAAUUACUGGGUGUAAAGGGAGCGCAGGCGGGAAGACAAGUUGGAAGUGAAAUCUAUGGGCUCAACCCAUAAACUGCUUUCAAAACUGUUUUUCUUGAGUAGUGCAGAGUAGGCGGAAUUCCCGGUGUAGCGGUGGAAUGCGUAGAUAUCGGGAGGAACACCAGUGGCGAAGGCGGCCUACUGGGCACCAACUGACGCUGAGGCUCGAAAGUGUGGGUAGCAAACAGGAUUAGAUACCCUGGUAGUCCACACCGUAAACGAUGAUUACUAGGUGUUGGAGGAUUGACCCCUUCAGUGCCGCAGUUAACACAAUAAGUAAUCCACCUGGGGAGUACGACCGCAAGGUUGAAACUCAAAGGAAUUGACGGGGGCCCGCACAAGCAGUGGAGUAUGUGGUUUAAUUCGACGCAACGCGAAGAACCUUACCAAGUCUUGACAUCCCUUGACGAACAUAGAAAUAUGUUUUCUCUUCGGAGCAAGGAGACAGGUGGUGCAUGGUUGUCGUCAGCUCGUGUCGUGAGAUGUUGGGUUAAGUCCCGCAACGAGCGCAACCCUUACUGUCAGUUACUACGCAAGAGGACUCUGGCAGGACUGCCGUUGACAAAACGGAGGAAGGUGGGGAUGACGUCAAAUCAUCAUGCCCUUUAUGACUUGGGCUACACACGUACUACAAUGGCGUUAAACAAAGAGAAGCAAGACCGCGAGGUGGAGCAAAGCUCAGAAACAACGUCCCAGUUCGGACUGCAGGCUGCAACUCGCCUGCACGAAGUCGGAAUUGCUAGUAAUCGUGGAUCAGCAUGCCACGGUGAAUACGUUCCCGGGCCCUAUGUACACACGGCCCGUNNC
rnacentral:rRNA from 1 species